GAUGAACGCUGGCGGCGUGCUUAACACAUGCAAGUCGAACGGAGAGGCCCUGCUUUGGUGGUGUGCUCGAGUGGCGAAAGGGUGAGUAACACGCGGGUAACCUGCCCUUGACUUAGGUAUCACUUCGAGAGAGUGGGGAUAAAACCAGAUCUGCGCUCACCGCGCAUGGUGGGGGUGCGACAUUUUCGGCGGUUGGAGAUGGACUCGCGGCAUAUCAGCUUGUGGGUGGGGAAGUGGCUUACCAAGGCUUAGACGGGUAGCCGGCCUGAGAGGGUGACCGGCCACAUUGGGACUGAGAUACGGCCCAGACUCCUCCGGGAGGCAGCAGUGGGGAAGAUGGCACAGUGGGCGGAAGCCUGAUGCAGCGACGCGGCGUGGGGGAUGACGGCCUGCGGGUUGGAAACCGAUGUCGCCUGUGAAGAAGCGAGAGUGACGGUAACUGGAAAAGAAGCACCGGCUAACUACGUG
rnacentral:rRNA from 1 species